rnacentral:lncRNA from 1 species
UGUGAACCAAAUGGCCGAGUGACAAUUACCUGACAAUCACCUCCCCUUUCUCGUUAUCUCUUUUACCUAAUAAAUUUGGAAGGCUGAAAAAGCUCAGGGCCCUUGUCCACUAGAGGCAAGGUGCCCCUUUACCCCUUCUUCCAAAUAUACUCUUUUGUCUUUGUCUUUUAUUCCCGCGUUCAUCUUCCUUUGUUCAGUCCACCAGGGAUUGUGGUCAGUUACACUAUCUCACUUAAUUUUCACCAUCACUUAACUAGGUAGAUACUCUGAAUGCCCCUGUUAUUAUUAACACCCUUAUUCUACACUUGAAGGAGCUGAGGCUUUGAGAGGAUAAGCAAUUCAAGUCACACAAAGGCUGCAUGUUGUCCAGUUCCAGAGGGUACAAUCAUAUCAUCGACUAGGAGAUAGCACCCCUUGGAGGUGAGGAGUCCACACUUGGCACAGUUAACACAAUCGUCCUGUGGGUGACAUGCAGUGCUAACAUUCAGGUUCAGAUCCUUGUGACUCUAGACACCAGGUGCUCUCUGUGCUAUAUAUAAAAGAAGUUGGAGGCCCUGUUGUAAGGAACGAACACAAUUCCUAAUUCUAGAGGACAGAAAAGUAAGUCCUGUUAACAGCCUUCAACGUGGAAUCUGUAGAGAACUUGUAUUAUCUCAGGAUCUUCUCAUUUGAAAAUGAAAAUGGUCACACCCACCCUUUUCUUAUGAUGCAAAUCACUGGUCAGUAUUUUCAUUUUCCAGCAGUCUUCAAAGCUGUAAUCCAGAAGGA